AUACGGAGGGUGCAAGCGUUAAUCGGAAUUACUGGGCGUAAAGCGCGCGUAGGCGGUUAGAUAAGUCGGAUGUGAAAUCCCUGGGCUCAACCUGGGAACUGCAUUCGAUACUGUCUAACUAGAGUAUGGUAGAGGGAAGUGGAAUUCCGGGUGUAGCGGUGAAAUGCGUAGAUAUCCGGAGGAACAUCAGUGGCGAAGGCGACUUCCUGGACCAAUACUGACGCUGAGGUGCGAAAUCGUGGGGAGCAAACAGGAUUAGAAACCCUAGUAGUCC
rnacentral:rRNA from 1 species